CAGCAGCCGCGGGAAUACGAAGGGGGCUAGCGUUGCUCGGAAUGACUGGGCGUAAAGGGCGCGUAGGCGGUUUUGACGGUCAGAUGUGGAAUUCCUGGGCUUAACCUGGGGGCUGCAUUUGAGACGUCAAGACUAGAGUGUGAGAGAGGGUUGUGGAAUUCCCAGUGUAGAGGUGAAAUUCGUAGAUAUUGGGAAGAACACCGGUGGCGAAGGCGGCAACCUGGCUCAUUACUGACGCUGAGGCGCGAAAGCGUGGGGAGCAAACAGGAUUAGAGACCCCGGUAGUCCCUGUCUCUUAUAC
rnacentral:rRNA from 1 species